rnacentral:rRNA from 1 species
UCAAGCUAAUAAGAGCGCAAGGGGAAUGCCUUGGCAUCAGGAGCCGAUGAAGGACGUGAUAAGCUGCGAUAAGCUUCGGGGAGCUGCAAAUGAGCAUUGAUCCGGAGAUUUCCGAAUGGGGAAACCCACCGAAAGGUAUCCUGCACUGAAUCAAAUAGGUGCAGGAGGGGAACCGCCUGAACUGAAACAUCUAAGUAGGGCGAGGAAAAGACAUCAACCGAGAUUCCGCGAGUAGUGGCGAGCGAAAGCGGAUUAGGCCAAACCGGAGGUAGCAAUAUCUCCGGGGUUACGGACAGCAACAUGAAGGAAGUUUUCUAAAAGAACGGCAUGGGAAGGCCGGCCAGAGAGUGUGAGAGCCACGUAUUUGAAAGAGAACUUUUGGAUAGCUGGAUCCAGAGUACCGCGGGACACGAGGAAUCCCGUGGGAAGUCGGGGGGACCACCCUCCAAGCCUAAAUACUACCUGAUGACCGAUAGAGGAGCAGUACCGUGAGGGAAAGGUGAAAAGAACCCCGGGAGGGGAGUGAAAGAGUACCUGAAACCUUGUGCUUACAAGCAGUCAAAGCCCGUUAAAGGGUGAUGGCGUACUUUUUGUAGAACGGUCCGGCGAGUUAUAGUAACUGGCGAGGUUAAGGUAUUGAGUACCGAAGCCGAAGGGAAACCGAGUGUGAAGAGCGCGAAUAAAGUCAGUUGCCAUAGACCCGAAACCAGGUGACCUAGCCAUGACCAGGCUGAAGUGGAGGUAAAGCUCCAUGGAGGGCCGAACCCACGUUCGUUGCAAUGACCGGGGAUGAGUUGUGGCUAGCGGUGAAAUUCCAAACGAACCUGGAGAUAGCUGGUUCUCCCCGAAAUAGUUUUAGGACUAGCGUUGGCAAUGAGUUUCGCGGUGGUAAAGCACUGAAUGGGCUAGGGGGCGAUAAGCUUACUGAACCCUAUCAAACUAAGAAUGCCGCAGAAAUGCUUACCAGCAGUCAGACUACGAGUAAUAAAAUCCGUGGUCAAAAGGGAAAUAGCCCAGACCCACAGCUAAGGUCCCGAAUACAUGCUAAGUGGAAAACGAUGUGAGAUUGCAGAAACAACCAGGAUGUUGGCUUAGAGGCAGCCACUCGUUCAAAGAGUGCGUAAUAGCUCACUGGUCGAGUGAUCUUGCGCGGAAAAUUUAACGGGGCUAAGCAUGUAACCGAAGCUUGGGAUUCACGAUUUUUCGUGAGUGGUAGGGGAGCGUCGAAUACGGGGUGAAGUCGCACCGGAAGGAGCGGUGGACUGUAUUCGAGUGAGAAUGCCGGAAUGAGUAGCGAGAAUUAUGUGGGAAUCAUAAUGGCCGAAAAUCUAAGGUUUCCUGGGGAAGGUUCGUCCGCCCAGGGUAAGCCGGGAGCUAAGGCGAGGCCGCAAGGCGUAGUCGAUGCACAUACGGUAGAAAUUCCGUAGCCGGUACAAUUGUUAAUCACGGUGACACAUGAGUAUAGCUCUACCGGGCGUUGGUAGCCCCGGGCGUAAGCGAGCCGAAUGAGGCGAAGUGAGUAAAGCUUGUGGCGAGAAAAGCCGUGUGAAUUGGUUGUACUGCCCGUACCGCAAACCGACACAGGUAGAUGAGGAGAAGAUCCUAAGGCCAACGGGAGAAGGGUUGUUAAGGAACUAGGCAAAUUGACCCCGUAACUUCGGAAUAAGGGGUGCCUACGAAAGUAGGUCGCAGAGAAUAGGCCCAAGCAACUGUUUACCAAAAACACAGGUCUCUGCUAAAUCGAAAGAUGACGUAUAGGGGCUGACGCCUGCCCGGUGCUGGAAGGUUAAGAGGAGAGCUUAGGGAAACCGAAGGUUCGAAUUGAAGCCCCAGUAAACGGCGGCCGUAACUAUAACGGUCCUAAGGUAGCGAAAUUCCUUGUCAGGUAAGUUCUG